GGCCUUGACAUACUAAGAACUUUCCAGAGAUGGAUUGGUGCCUUCGGGAACUUAGAUACAGGUGCUGCAUGGCUGUCGUCAGCUCGUGUCGUGAGAUGUUGGGUUAAGUCCCGCAACGAGCGCAACCCUUUUCCUUAUUUGCCAGCGGGUCAUGCCGGGAACUUUAAGGAUACUGCCAGUGACAAACUGGAGGAAGGCGGGGACGACGUCAAGUCAUCAUGGCCCUUACGGCCAGGGCUACACACGUGCUACAAUGGUCGGUACAAAGGGUUGCUACCUCGCGAGAGGAUGCUAAUCUCAAAAAGCCGAUCGUAGUCCGGAUCGCAGUCUGCAACUCGACUGCGUGAAGUCGGAAUCGCUAGUAGUCGCGGAUCAGAAUGCCGCGGUGAAUACGUUCCCGGGCCUUGUACACACCGCCCGUCACACCAUGGGAGUUUGUUGCACCAGAAGUAGGUAGUCUAACCGCAAGGAGGACGCUUACCACGGUGUGGCCGAUGACUGGGGUGAAGUCGUAACAAGGUAGGCGUAGAUGA
rnacentral:rRNA from 1 species